AUUUUGUUUUUUCCAAAAUGAUUUAAGAAAUGACCCCCACUCUCAAGCUCUGAUGUUGUUUACACGGGUGGGCUUUAUUUUUCUGGGCUUUACACAUUCACGAACAAACGCUACCAUGGCGAUUAUCCCCUGAAAUUUGCAUCGUUCUUCUCCAUCAGUCGGUCUCCAUUCUUCACUCCGGCUAGGUUUUUGAAAUUAGGUUGGAAACUAUAGUCGAUAAACGAAUUGAUUCCUCUUCGCUGUUUCUAUCGAACCAUUGAUCAUCUUGUCAGACAGGAAAGUAAAUUUUUGAAGUUCUUAAGGUUUAUGUGGAACCCUCUAUCAUGGGUUAUGGAAGCAGCAACUAUUAUGGCCAUUGCACUGGCCAAUGGAGGAUUUAUUAAGGUUUGAUUUACUUUAUCUCCAACAGUUUUUAAAGAACGUGCAAAGUGAUAUGCUCCUCAAAAGUAGGUGAGAACCAAAUAUGAUACAAGUUUUUGCUUCUCUAUUCUACGUGUCUGGUUUAGAUUCACUUAUAUACUUGUUUGUUUGUACCACCACAUCAACUUGGAUGGAUUUACUUCAUCUCCAACCGUUUUUAAAGAGCAAGCAACAUGAGUCUGCUUAAGACACUAUUCAAGCAUUGGAUGUUCUCAGGGAUGCUCCAUCGAAACUGUAAGAUUCUUAAUGCUACCUUAUUUUAUCAUUUGAAAAUGUCUUGGUCAGUAGUUUAUUUUGGUUUGGGUAUGUUGUUGUGUGACUUUAUAAAUUAUAAUAGUGUACUCUGUGUGGUUCUAAAGGAAUGAGUUAAUGCAAAUGUUUUGUUUAAGAAAUUUAUUUUCUCAAGUAAAAAGCAGAUUCUAUCUUGACAGCCACUAUUGAGAUGGUAAAUGUGAAUCAUGGUAGUGAAAUUCAUGCUUGUGCUCUUAAAUAGGUACCUGAUACUGAUGUCUUGGUUUGCUAUGCUCUCAUAAAUAUAUACUCAAAGUGUGGUUUGGUCUCGUUUUUCUAUUUGAACUUCUCAAUUAUGUAUUUGAUGCUUUACAUACAUGUAUAUUCGUGUUAUAUAUUCUAUUUUGCAGAUUUUUUCAUCAGAAUUUCAGAGAAGUUUCGAUGUGUAGGAUUUCAAGACUAUGUAAUGAGAUUUAUUACAUUUAUAAGGCCAAAUCAGUUGGUGUGUUUGAGAUUGAGUUUAUUAGAAUGUUGUAUUUCAUAUUUUGGAUAUUUUGAAUCACAAAGCAGGUAUUAUGAAAUAAAAUUAACUAGUCUUUUUAA